rnacentral:rRNA from 1 species
AAUAGAUACCCAGGUAGUCCACGCCGUAAACGAUGAAUGCUAGGUGUUAGGGGUUUCGAUACCCUUGGUGCCGAAGUUAACACAUUAAGCAUUCCGCCUGGGGAGUACGGCCGCAAGGCUGAAACUCGAAAGGAAGUUGACGGGGACCCGCACAAGCAGUGGAGUAUGUGGUUUAAUUCGAAGCAACGCGAAGAACCUUACCAGGUCUUGACAUCCCCCUGACCGGUACAGAGAUGUGCCUUUCCUUCGGGACAGGGGAGACAGGUGGUGCAUGGUUGUCGUCAGCUCGUGUCGUGAGAUGUUGGGUUAAGUCCCGCAACGAGCGCAACCCUUGACUUUAGUUGCCAGCAGGUAAGGCUGGGCACUCUAGAGUGACUGCCGGUGACAAACCGGAGGAAGGUGGGGAUGACGUCAAAUCAUCAUGCCCCUUAUGACCUGGGCUACACACGUACUACAAUGGCCGGUACAACGGGAAGCGAAGGAGCGAUCUGGAGCGAAUCCUUUAAAGCCGGUCUCAGUUCGGAUUGCAGGCUGCAACUCG